UAGUAACGGCGAGUGAAGCGGGAAGAGCUCAAGCUUAAAAUCUCCGUGCAAAUUUUGCAUGGCGAAUUGUAGCCUAUAGAGGCGUGAUUAGCGUAGGCACUUGGGGUAAGUUCCUUGGAAGAGGACAGCAUGGAGGGUGAUACUCCCGUUCAUCCCUGAGUUGCUUAUGCGUACGAUCCGUUUUCUUUGAGUCCCGUUGUUUGAGAAUGCAGCGCAAAGUAGGUGGUAAAUUCCAUCUAAAGCUAAAUAUUGGUGCGAGACCGAUAGCAAACAAGUACCGUGAGGGAAAGAUGAAAAGAACUUUGAAAAGAGAGUUAAAGAGUACCUGAAACUGCUGAAAGGGAACCAAAUCGUUUCCAGUGUCUAUAAUCCGCGGUAUAUUUCAUUGGCGAAUGUGUGCGUGCGUGUACUAUGGCAGCGGCUUUUGCUGCGCUUGGUGUGUGGGUCGUAUUGUAUCGCUGGUGCCCUGUGCUGUGGUGGGACGUCAAGGUCGGUUCGUAUGCUGCGGGAAAUGACUACUGAGGAGGUAGGGCUUACGCUUGCGUUUGUCUGUUAUAUCUUGGUGGACGAGUUGUCGCGGUUGGGACUGAGGUGCCUACAAUGUGCUUAUGAGUGGGAUUGAGUCUCCGUGUGCGCCGUGUGCGGAUAGCUUGCUAUGCGUGUGUGGCUGUGUGUGGAU
rnacentral:rRNA from 1 species